AGCUCCAAUAGCGUAUAUUAAAGUUGUUGCGGUUAAAAAGCUCGUAGUUGGAUUUCAGUUCUGGACUGACGGUUGCACCGCCAGGUGCACACCGCCACGCUCCGAACAAGAUUCUAAAAGCCGCUGGCUCGCACGGGGUGCUCUUCACCGAGUGCCCCGCGUGGCCGGCAGAGUUUACUUUGAAAAAAUUAGAGUGCUCAAAGCAGGCUACAAACUGACGGCCUGAAUGCCUAUGCAUGGAAUAAUGGAAUAGGAUCUCGGUUCUAUUUUGUUGGUUUUCUGAACCCGAGGUAAUGACUAAUAGGAACAGUCGGGGGCAUUCGUACUGCGACGCUAGAGGUGAAAUUCUUGGACCGUCGCAUGACGAACUACUGCGAAAGCAUUUGCCAAGGAUGUUUUCA
rnacentral:rRNA from 1 species